GAUGAACGCUAGCGGCAGGCCUAACACAUGCAAGUCGAGGGGUAACAGGAGAGCUUGCUCUCGCUGACGACCGGCGCACGGGUGCGUAACGCGUAUACAAUUUACCUUAUACUGGAGGAUAGCCCGGAGAAAUCCGGAUUAAUACUCCAUAACAUUACAGAAUCGCAUGAUUCCAUAAUUAAAGUUUCGGCGGUAUAAGAUGAGUAUGCGUCCUAUUAGUUAGUUGGUAAGGUAACGGCUUACCAAGACAGCGAUAGGUAGGGGGCCUGAGAGGGUUAUCCCCCACACUGGUACUGAGACACGGACCAGACUCCUACGGGAGGCAGCAGUGAGGAAUAUUGGACAAUGGAGGCAACUCUGAUCCAGCCAUGCCGCGUGAAGGAAGAAUGUCCUACGGAUUGUAAACUUCUUUUAUUUGGGAAGAAACUUCUCUACGUGUAGAGAACUGACGGUACCAAACGAAUAAGGACCGGCUAACUCCGUGCCAGCAGCCGCGGUAAAGUCAGU
rnacentral:rRNA from 1 species